rnacentral:rRNA from 1 species
CAGCAGCCGCGGUAACACGGAGGGUGCAAGCGUUAAUCGGAAUUACUGGGCGUAAAGCGCACGCAGGCGGUCUGACAAGUCAGAUGUGAAAUCCCCGGGCUUAACCUGGGAACUGCAUUUGAAACUGUCAGGCUGGAGUCUUGUAGAGGGGGGUGGAAUUCCAGGUGUAGCGGUGAAAUGCGUAGAGAUCUGGAGGAAUACCGGUGGCGAAGGCGGCCCCCUGGACAAAGACUGACGCUCAGGUGCGAAAGCGUGGGGAGCAAACAGGAUUAGAGACCCCUGUAGUCCCUGUCUCUUAUAC